GAAAUGCGAUAAGUAAUGUGAAUUGCAGAAUUCAGUGCAUCAUCGAAUCUUUGAACGCAGCUUGCGCUCCUUGGUAUUCCUUGGAGCAUGCCUGUUUGAGUAUCAUGAAAUCUUCAAAGUAAAUCUUUUGUUAACUCAAUUGGUUUCUACUUUGGUAUUGGAGGUCUUUGCAGCUUCACACCUGCUCCUCUUUGUUCAUUAGCUGGAUCUCAGUGUUAUGCUUGGUUCCACUCGGCGUGAUAAGUUAUCUAUCGCUGAGGACACUGUAAAAGGUGGCCAAGGUAAAUGCAGAUGAACCGCUUCUAAUAGUCCAUUGACUUGGACAAUACUUUUAUGAUCUGAUCUCAAAUCAGGUAGGACUACCCGCUGAACUUAAGC
rnacentral:misc_RNA from 1 species